rnacentral:rRNA from 1 species
UACGUAGGUGACAAGCGUUGUCCGGAUUUACUGGGCGUAAAGAGCGCGCAGGCGGUCGUUCAAGUCGAGUGUGAAAGCCCCCGGCUCAACUGGGGAGGGUCAUUCGAUACUGAUCGACUCGAAGGCAGGAGAGGGUAGUGGAAUUCCCGGUGUAGUGGUGAAAUGCGUAGAUAUCGGGAGGAACACCAGUGGCGAAGGCGACUCCCUGGCCUGUUUCUUGACGCUGAGGCGCGAAAGCUAGGGGAGCAAACGGG